AAAAUUCUCUGCCUAUCCGUACUGCAAAAAAAAAAAAAAAAAAUGAGAAGAAAGUGUUCUGAAGAGAACACAAGGGUGUGGCCGAAACAUCAUUUGAUAAGGAGAUCAAUAUGGGUGUGAACCAUGAAUUUAAUCAGCCACCUUGGAAGAAGCCAGAAAGAGAUGGGAUUAUACCAGCAGACAUACUGCCAGGACAAGGGAAAGAAAUGAAAGAUAAAUGAAGGAAGACUGUCAGACUUCUUGGAUUCCACAGAACUGGACAAAACUGCUGUUUGGCUGCAAAUGCUCACUAUUCUUAAAGAAAAGGGAACAAGGACCCCAAAGGUGCACAGCCGGAGAGGAAUUUGGCCUCAGGAUGAAUUGUAUCUCCAGUCACACCCAUACCUGAUUGACAUGAUAUUUAGCUGAUAGAGACUUUGGGGUUUAUAGGUGACGUUGGGAUGAGUUAAAAAUUAGGGGGUUGUUGGGACGGAAAGAAUGUAUUUUGCAUAUAAUAAGGGCAUGAAUUUGGGGGGGGGGGGCAGGGGUGGAAUGCCAUGGCCUGAACUGUGUUCUCCUCAAAUUCAUGUUGAAGCCCUAACCCUCAGCGUAGCCAAAUGUGGAGAUGGGCCUUUAGGUGGUAAUUGAGGUUAAAGGAGUUCAUAAGGGUGGGGUCUUCAUCUGAUAGGAUUAGUGUCCUUAUAAGAAGAAAUGCCAGAGUGCUCUCUCCUUCUGUUUUGCCCUCCCCUUCCCCACUUCUUCCCCUCCUUCUCCCCAUGCUCAAAGGAAAGGCCAUGUAAGGCCAAACCUACCAUCUGCAAGCCAAGAAGGAAAGCGUCACCAAAAACCAAACCCUGCUGGAAACUUGAUCUUCCCUUUCAGCCUCUGGAAUAAAGAAACUUAAUUUCUGUUGUUGAA